GAAAUGCGAUAAGUAGUGUGAAUUGCAGAAUUUAGCGAAUCAUCGAAUCUUUGAACGCACAUUGCGCCCCUUGGUAUUCCAUGGGGCAUGCCUGUUCGAGCGUCAUUUCAACCCUCAAGCACUGCUUGGUGUUGGGCGUUUGUCCCGCCUACGCGCGUGGACUCGCCUCAAAGUCAUUGGCGGCUGUUCCCAUUCGGCUCGUAAGCGCAGCACAGUCGGCGCCCGGAGCUCUGGUGGGAUGGCGUCCAGCAAGCUAUAUUUUCAGGCUUGACCUCGGAUCAGGUAGGGAUACCCGCUGAACUUAAGC
rnacentral:misc_RNA from 1 species